rnacentral:miRNA from 1 species
GAGCUCGUCUAUUCAUUUUGA